AUUAUUAAUUCAUGUGCUAUUCAUUGUACCAACAUUGAUCAUGUGAAAGAAGUGUGGUGUUAGUUACAUUUUAAUCAUUCAGUGUUGAAGAAGGACUAAUUAUUUUCAAAUAGCAAUGGGAAGGAUCCAGUUUUAUAAAGAAAUCAUGGAAUAUCUAAUUUACUCCCGCAGCGUUUUAAUAGGGAAACAUAUGGCUGCCAUUAUUUGUAGGACAAUGGGGGAUAUCACAGCAAUUGCUCAUGUUUCAACUCUUACAAAGAAGGUAGAGGUAGUGUUGCCCUCACAGGAGCCUGUGUUAACUACGGGAUGGAUAUGCUGUGCAGCACCUCUUGUUCCUUGCCCAUCCAGACUAGGGCUUGACCAGGCUGAGCAUUAUGUCCCUUCCAGCCAAACUACUUGGAUUUCUUCAGAGCCUUCAGAAAAGUACUAGGGAAUGAGAGCAGCAGGUAACUUUCUUCAUGGACUCAGUAUCAGUGAGGGACAUGCCUGCAAUGGAUAAAACUGGAUAAUAAAGGGAGUAGGACUGUUUGUGUCCAUCUCCCUGCUGCCCCUUUCCUCCACUGUGGAAAGCAUUUAGGGGCUUUCAGUCCCCUCUGAAGAAAGAAGUUACACAUUUCUAUUUGGAAAAUUAUCUCUGAUCUUGCACAGGUGUAUGCCGGAGAGGACGCCUGAAAGUUUGGUGCCUCGUUCAUAGGAAAUUUUCUCAGGUUGAGGGGGUAUGCAGAAGCUCAGAUAAGGUGCUCAGGGGUUUAGAACCUGGUGGAGCAGCUGUGAAUUAGAGAAGCAGAUACUGACAUACUUCAUGGUCAAGCUGCCAAACUCCAAGCCCAUUGGAUGUUUUGUAUGUGAUAGCUCCUUGGAUUUUGUUCUCCCUUCUUCCCUUCUCUAUGCAAAGUACCUCAUAAAUGUUUCCAAAUGGAGAGGUGGAUCUCUAGGGACUUCUCUGCUACCCAAAUGCACUUCUGUGAGCUUUACUUCCUGGAGUGACAUCCCCAUGGGUGAAGGCUUGGCAGGCUUGCUUUGAAAAUAGCAUGUGUCUCGCUCUUAUUUCUGUAUCUUGCCAUAACUUGUGUUUUAGGAGACCUCAGAUCAGUUGUAAUGAUACAGUCAAAACACAGAAGGACAGCUGGGUGAUGAGAAUCAGUGAGCUAAAUCUGUGAUAAUUUAAGCAGUUAUUUCACUUUAAAUGAAUAGUGCUUGGAAAAAGCUCAAGAACAUGGGUUCAGAUCAGUGUAAACAAAGCCCACUGUAGCUUUUUGGCUUUAUACUCUGUCUAUUUUGCAUGUUAGAGGAAGGUACAGAUCAGCUUGUAAACUGUAGUAACGUACAGUUAGUAUUGUAUCAGGUUUCCUUGGGUAUAUUGUCUUUUGUGUAACCUCUGAGUUUGGUGUAUUUAUGUUAUUUGGGGGCAAAAAUAACACAUAUUUUCUCUGUGUAUAUUGGCUGGUUUAAAUUCACAGAAAAGGCAACAUGUUCUUGCUUCAGUAUUGGACUCCGAGUGGAUGCUUCUUAUUAUAUUAUCUUCCUUAGAUUUAUAUAGUAUUGAUGAAAUUGAAAAUCAGUGACCUGACAAAAACAAAAUAAUACAGCAUGAAAAUUGCUACCAUGAUUUCAUGCUGUGUUAAUGCAAGGAUGUCAUUCCUGCUUCAGAAUAAUAACAGUGUUUUGCUUCUGAACUUACAGCAUCUCUCUCUAUCCCUCUCUUCCUCUUCCCACCCCUCCUUUUCCUUUUAAAGAGAGUUGAUGCCACAAUGAAAUUUUUUUUAAUCACAUAUCUUGGCUGUUUGUUAGUGAGUAACCACUACUAACAGGUAAUUUUUCGAAGCAGAUAGUGGAAUGUCUGUAUUCCAUAAGCAUAUGCAGAAAUGCAGAAAGAAUCAGGCAGAACAGUCACUAUAACGUGGCUAAUUGCAGAGUCUGGGAAUUUUUUUAGUUGUUCUUCCUCAAGGAGCCAUCAUUCAGGCUGCAUGGCAGCACUCUUUGAAUUCCCACAGGGCACUGCUUGUCUUGGAAUAUGCAGAAGUGAUAUUUGCUCUCUGUUCUUAACAAUUCCUAUUCUCCUACAGGUGCCAGAAAAGAUUUGAGGAAAGACACUAAAUUCUGAUUAAUGUACUCACUGAAAUUGCAACGAUGUGAUCAGGUUUCAUAUUUUAACUGAUUAGAGACCUCCUUAUUGAACCUUCCUAUGUUGCCAAGAAUGGUAGAACCUACAGAUUUGAUGUAAACAUUCUAAGUUUGAUAUGAAAGGUGAGGAGCUACUUGGCAAAUUCUGCCAUGUGGGAAGUGUCUCUUUCAGAUCCCAGAUACCUGUUCAGACUCUGCCAUCAUAAAGACUUAUCUGUUCUGAGAGGGAAGGAGCAAACGCCAACUCUGAAGUCAAAGGCCAGUACCAAUUCCACUUCAUUUUGGCUGUCCCUCUGUUUAUUCAUUGCUUGCAGAAGAGGGUGGGUGUGGCUGUUUAUGUGUGUACAGAAUGAAAUGACUACCUCUGCUGUACUUCAUGGAGGAGAUGGAACGGGGACAGGAAGAAACAGAGCACCAUGCCCUCUCCUCGUGCUCUACCUGACUUGGCUCAAGAAUAGAGGUCAAUUUAAAAAACCAAACAAACAGACCCUUUCCCCAACCCAAGAGAUAGUUUCUUGCAUGCACAGCAGGGAGCUGAAGGGCUGCUGACACAAAAUCUCUGUGUGUGUAUUUGCUUUACAGUUAAGGCACUCGCCCACUCUCCUUGAGGUCUGAACUGGUUCAGAAUCUCUUCUCACAUACAAGGAGUUUCUGUGACCUUGGUUAUUUUAGGCAGAAAAUAAUUUAUGGUUCAGUGAGCCAGAGAGAAAAUACAUGUGAACAUGAGGCUUAGUGGUUUGUAGUCACCUGAGGCCUCCAUUUUCCAUGCUAAGGACAGAUUCAGCCCUAAUGUCAGAUUUUGACACAGGCAUUUGAACUUCUCUUCCCAGCUAAGGUGGCUCAUAUGCUGCAGAAUUCUCCAGUUUAGCAUUGUCCUCUGUAACCUCAUAGCCUCCAUGAGGAGUGUGAGGAAUGUCCUGAUGGGUAUGGUAACCCACCUCUUUAAAGACAGAUAAGAAUAUGGAGUUGAAUUCCCUGACCAUAGGAAAUAAUUCAAGCAGCCUGGAAGAGUGGAAGAGUGUUCUCACUGUUUAUGAGCUGUUUUGUAGGGUCAAAUAAGAGGUACCUCAUCCUGUAUCCUAAUUAAAAAAAAAAGGACAACCUCUCCUUUAUCUUGAAAGAGGUAAUAUUGGUCACUUCUUACUUAAGACAGAGGUUUUUUGUGAAGUCACACUUCUAUUCUGGAUGCUUAUUAAUAAACUCAAAUGGUUCUUUGCUGAGCAGGCUAGUUCUGCUCACCAGCUGGGUUGUCAUUCUGUCAUGUUCUCUUCUUAGAAUGAUUUUCAGAAUUUUCAAUCUCUAUCAGAUAGUACUAGGACAAAUACAAAACAGGUGAUAAAGGAAAAAAGAAAGUCUCCUUCCAAUGGAUAAUUUUUAUUUGCUGAAUUAAUUUUAUUUUGGAACCAAGUGUUUGAAAUCCAUCACUAACUCCUGCUUGCCUUUCAGGGUGCCUGAAGCUCUCCGUGCUUUGUCUUGCUAAUAAAGUGUUAUGUGGUUCAGUUUUACGUUUGUUUCUUAAACUGCUCUUCUCUGUUGCCACUGUUUUUUCCGGUUGUUUGCAGUUUUAGCAUCUCUUGUUUGUUUUCCCCCCCUGCUGCCUUUCCAUUCUUGCAACCCUCUAGGGUUUUGCCGUGAACUGCCCAUCUGAUGGGUUUCCUGCCGACUUUAUUUGAUUGCUGGAGCUCUAGCAUUAGCUGCACUGAACGCUAGAGCACCAUCCAUGGACUCUGCGCUCCCUGGUGGGAGGCCAGGUGCUCCAGCCACUCAGCUCCAACGCCUGAUCCAGCUCCGAGACUGGCUGGUAUCAGCCAGACUGGAAGAAAGGAAUUUUUUGGUCUGUUCUUUCAUUUUUAUAUGUUUAUGCCAAAGGAUUCUCCAAGUGUGGUUAUUUAGUUGUUUGGAUUUUGCUGCUGUAGCAGCAAAUAGGGGACUAUUGUAACUUAAUGAAGUCUAACCUAAGUAUAGCAAUGUCAUGUGAGGACCUUGAUUUCUUUGUGCUUUUUACUAAAAUGAUGGGGUUUUGGGGUUUUUUUUUGUGUGAACAACAUCUUUUUCCACCACAGAUAAAAUGUUUUGAAUGAGUAUGAUCUGUUCCUAAUUACUUGUUAUGAAAACCAGAUUUUUAUUACUGAUAGAAGCAUGAGGCGAAAAAAGAGGUAUAGAGUUUAACAUUCUUUAUGAUAGAAUUUAAAUUUACCAUAAAAUUAAACCCUGAAAUUGAAUUACAUUAAUUGAUUUAAAACCUUUGAGGAGUUGUUCAUUCAGUCUUGCAUCUUGUUGAAUCUUUCAAGAGAUUUUUUUAGUAGGAUAUGUACAGGAUGGCGGUUAACACUGGGAUGGAGAUAAAAGUCAAAAGAUGUGUUUUGUAUCAUAUCCUUGCUAAUACAUUUAAUCAAUAUAGUUAUUGAUAUUAAAAAUUGUGUUUUUGCAGAUUUGUAGAACUGCCCACAUACUGUAUGAAGACAAAGUAAUCAUAUCCAACUAAACAGUGUAAAAAAGAAUAUGAAGGAGGGGAUGGAACAAAAAAGAAUGAUAGAGUGAUUGUUGUUAUUAUACCAGAACACGUGGGCUUUGAUUUUUGUACUUACUUUUCCUUUUCUUUUCAUCAUGGGAGAGGUCUUUUUCAGAGCUUACAGAGUUUUGAAAAAUUUUUAAUGGAAUUUUUUUGGGAGGAUAUUUUUAGUCAUGAAGAGUCAAAGUGGGGGGUCAUAAAGGGAAAGGGCAUGUUGAGUGGGGGAAGAGGGAGAAUUGGAAGAUGGUGCAGGAGGAAGGUGGGGUGGAUGUGAGAGUAGGGGUGCUGGUGCUCUGGGGGUUGCCAAAUGCAAAAAUGGCCCGAGAGAAAACCACAGAGAGCAGAGUGGUCAUAGUAGCAGGGCCAGGUUUGUGGUUCCUCUUCCUGGGGAGAGUUUCUUUGUUUGCAGAGACAGGAAUCUCCCAAGGCUUUUUUAUUAGCCAAAUGCAGGACAAAUGACUUUGUGGCAGUGGGAGUGUAAAGGACUGUUAAAAGUGCGAGGUGAUAAUGGGCCAUGAUUUUCCAUCCAUAAUCAGCCAUGAUUGUCCAUGAUAGAGAUGCUGAAUACACCCCCACCCGCCCCUCCCCCAUCCCAAGUCAUGUUCAUACCUUCCCAGUUUCUGAGAAAUCAAACCUACAUCUAGGUGCAGAUUCCAGACUCCGUGGUUGGAUCAUUUUUGAUUUCUUGCUGAGAAGAGUUUUCUUCCUGAUAUUUUAAAAUUCUUCUGCAAUUAGAAAAUAAUGCCUUUUCUAAUGCCAGAUUAAAUGCUAAUAAAAUGUCACAUUUAAAACCAGGUGAAGAACUGUGAAGUACACAGAUGGUUCCAAAGAGAAAUGGUGAUAUUCUGAUUUAUUUUGUUUAUUUCUAUAUAAUUUGUUUUUCAGUUCAAAUGCAGGAAUGGUUGAUAUUAAAGUACAUUGUGAAUGCAAUGGGUCAAUUUCACAUUUGCGAGAACAAAUUCAGAUAAAAACAAGAUAUGAAUUAUUAAUGAGCUUAAUUCAUCAUUGGCACACUGUGUCUUUAAAUGUGGUGGUUGUUUGUUGUUGGAACCCUAAAUUUCACCUAUAUAUCCUCCUAAAAUAAACAGCAAUUGAAACAGCAUAUUUUGGUUUGAUGUAGAAUUUCUCAGAUUUUAGGUGAAUUCUGUAGAUGCUGUUAGGCUAGAUGAACACAUUUGUUCUUUAUGUCUUUUUAAUUCCUGAAGGCACACUGUGCAACAGCUUUACAAGUCAGUUGUAGCAAUUAAAUUAGGCCACUGGGUCCCUAAAUCAAGUGCUCCAGGCCAGAGUGGAGGCAGAGGCUGCCCUCACACUCUUCCUGCCGGGAGGUGAAAAGCUGGGAGCACUCCACCUCUGCGGCGCCACGUGUCAGAUGCAAAGUAAACUUGCCUGCAUAGGCCCACAUCAGCUGCGAGGUAAGCUACCUGAACAGCCGCAGGUAGGUUUUUGUUUUGCAUGUGCUGUGUUGCUUUAGGGGCGAUUUCAAGCAGUGCUUUCCAAGAAUACGCAUCAGUGGUUUUCCAAAAGCCUUGCAGAGAUCCAAACUGAUCUGCCACAGUAUAUACCACCUCCUUGUGGUAUCCUUAUGGAUAGGAACUGCUUUGCUGUUUCUCUUGCUUCCUCUUAUUAAACGUGAUGUGUUCAGAGAAGGUUAAUCCAGAAACCAUCCGUGUCUUCUUCAGAAACAGGAAUGCCAAUUUCGGCCAGUUACUGACAGAGGAUUUAAAUAGCAAGCAGAAAAUUCUUCCUACUUAUGAUCAGGAAGGGACCUAGCAAUAAGUUUUUUGUAGGUGCAGGCUUGUCACAGUAAAUGGCAAAGUAGUAAAUCUGCUUCAGGUAUUUAUGUUCUGCUUUAGGUUGCAGAAAAUUCCACAAUUCUACUUCUUUAUUGCAUAGCUUGCUCUUGCUAGUUGCUGUACAGUUACUGAAUUAGAAAGUCAGAUGAAAUUACAAAAAGCCAUAUAGAAUAGAUAUGAGUUUGAAUUAGUGUAGUGCAAAGUAGUUGUUGUUCAUGGAUACAUUUGCUUUGUUGUUGGAAUACGUGUGUAGUGAUACAAUGCUUUGUGAAACUCAUGAAUACUUUUAUCAAGAUAAAAACAGAAGAUAUUUUUCUCUGAUUUAUUCCAUUUUAGGAAUUAGAGAAAUUAAGCUUCCUUCUCUUUUAAUUAUAUUUUACAGAGAAACUGUAAUCUCUUAAUCUCUGUGAAGCUUCUCCCUAUUAGUUUACCCAUUGGCAUUGGCUGACAUGGAGCCAGUGGAGCCUGCAGUUGGUAUUCUGCAGCUGAGAGGGGUGUAUUCAGGAAGCAAAGGCUAAAUUUUGCCUGCAUAUGUGCAACUUGCUUUGACUCCAGGGCAGGCAAUUUGCACUUGGGGUACAUAAUAAAUUGAUUUGUCAGUUCAGUGACCGACUUAAAAAUAAAUACAUUAGAAUGGUUCCAGUUGACAAGAAACAGAUCUUUCUUUACUCCUCUCCACUUUUUUUCCAUCUAAUCAAAGCAAGAUGCUUUUUUCAAGCGAAAAAAAUGCAUUCCAUAACAUUUUAGAUAAAAGCAAAAGCUAGAUUUUCAGGAUGAUAUAGACACUAUCACAAAACAGGUGCUGCAGUUUUCUUAUGUAUAUUGAAACAGUUCAAGUCUCUACUGAUUUUAAGGAGAUGGACUUUUUUCCCCCCGCACCUAACUUAGAAGAAAAUGUCCUUACUGUGGAGUUAUAUGCUGUUACAGAAUGUUGUAUGUUUCUCCUGGAACAUCUCCACUAGGUAUAAAAUGCUUAAGCAGCUCUUUUCAUCAGCAGCACAAAAAAUUGCUUUACAGCCUGAUGCUAAGAACAUUCUGGGGAUUCCCAGGUUACUGUAUUAAUGAAUCCAAGUGCUCAACAGAAAAAAAAACAAUAGACUGAGGGGGCACCAGCCCACAAUUCUUCAUUACUUUGUGUCUAAGGUAUUUUCCUAAAUGCUUGAUUUGGUUCAGAGAGAGAUUAGAUUUGUAUCUGAGCCUCUAACAACAUGUUCUAAUUGUUGGGCCACAAAGCCAGAGAGCUCCUUUUUUGUGCAAAGUAUUGUGGAACUAACAGUUGUUAAAAUAUUGUGGGAAAAUGAGAAGGAGCCACUUUGACAUUAGCAGAUCACUGUCUACAACUACCUGAAAGGAGAUUGUGGUGAGGUGUAGGUUGGUCUCUUCUACCAGGUGACAAGUGAUACGAUGAGAUGAAACAGCCUCAUGCUGCACUGGAGAGGUUUAGAUUGGAUAGUAGGAAAAAUGUCUUCACUGAAAGGCUUGUCAGACAUCGGAACAAGCUGCCAAAAGAAGUGGUUGAGUCACCAUCCCUGGAGAUUUUUAAAAGACAUGUAGAUGUGGAACUUGGGGACACGGUUUAGUGGCAGUGCUUGGCAGUGCUGGGCUGACAGUUGGACUCAAUCUUAGAGGUCUUUUAUAACCUAAAAUUUCAGUGAUUGUAUGAAGUAGUCAUUGGGACUUUUGUUUCUUUUUUAUUAUUUGGUGGGAGUUACUCAGUGUGACUGCUCCACAGUUACUUUUGGAGGAAGAAGUGUUUACUUUAAAAAUAAUUAAUCCAAACUUAGGAGAUAGAUUUUACCUUUUCAAAAACCUUGUCUGCAAAUGCAUAAGAGUGCAGUUGAGCAGGAGAGUUUUUUCCAGGCUGAAAUGAGAGCCUCACUUCACAUAGGUGAAGAUGUAGGCAUCUUUCCUGUCAUAUUUCACCUUAUUUCUGUGGGGAGUAGACGGUAGGUAGGAUCCUCACAGAAGGGACUUCAAAACGUGGGAAGAAAGAGAAGGGUCAUAGUCAGAAUCAGUGGACACUUGUCAUUUCUUUCUGUAACAGUGAUAGAAAUCGCCUCAAGAAUCAAGGCAACCUAGAGAAAAUGAUCGGAGCUUGGGAAAAUACCACAGCAUACGAUCCAGCCACCUCUGCUACAAAUGAAACAUACUUACUUUUGCUGUCAUAUGAUUCUCAUCAUACAUUAUCAAUUAUUCUGUAUCUCUUAAUUUUAGAUUCUUGCUGCUAUUUGCAGCAGGGAGUGUGGUUCUAUAAACCUGAUGCUUUUUAAAUGGGAAGGCCUAUAGGUCUCUGUUCUUAAGCGAUGCAUGUGAAUAGCAUUGCUGUUUGAUGAAAAAUGUAAAACAUUUUGUGGAAUUGCCUUGAUUUUCCAUUUCCUUGAGUUUGGAAAGAAAAAGACAUACAGUUUGCAGUCUGAGAGUUUAAUAUAUUUGAAAUGUAUGGUGAAAUGUUUUUUGGUCAUGAGAAUUAAAUUACUUGCAUUAUUAUAAUUUUAGCAUGGUGAUAUUUUAAUUUUUGCAGAAUUCUCUACUGCACUUAUGUAUCCAGAAGAUAUUUUCCCUUUUAAAUGCAGUGAGGACACACUAUGUCUCUUAAAGUAAUACUCUCAUAAAAAGUUGCAAGAAUUAGCUCCAGAAAAUACUCUUGAAGCUAAACUUCAUAAAGACAAUGGUAUAAUUGGUUGUACAGAGUCAUUAUUCUUUUCAUCCAUUCCUUUGUUGAGACAAGUUAGUGCAAAAUGUUACCUGCCUGGUCUGGCAUAAUGAUUUGAAGCCAGUGGCAACUGUCAUGAUUUCAGUCUCCUUUUCAGACCCCCUCUCACCAUUUUUCAGGCACUCCUAGUGUCUGGCAUGGUAUUUUUAAAUGUCUUCUGAACUGCGCCGUUUAACAUCGACAUUUCACUCAGUUUGGACAGUUUUCCUUUGUGUGACAGUUAAUUUAAACCUUGUGCUUCUGUUCUAGCAUAAUUUCCCCAUCCUCUUCAGGUGAGCAGCCUCUUACCUGAAGCCACAAGCCACUUGCUUGCAUUUGUUGAAGAAAUCUUGUUACAAGACCUUGAAUAAUUUAUCUGCUUGAGUUUUUCCAGAAGUCGCAUGACCAAUGGCCUUGAAGGACAGCAGUGUAAGGAAGACCAGCACUGGGAAUGUUCAGCUCCUCAUGAAGAGGUUGGCACUCAUGGACUGCUAAUCACUUGGGAAAAUACAACACAUUGCGCUCUCGAGUGCUGUUCCGCUAUUGUUUCUCAGGGCAAUCAAAGAAUUGGCUCUCCUUGUGUGCUUCUGAGGAAGGUGGUAUUAAAACAAUAUUUAAAUUUAUCACGAGUCUGCAGGCAUGACUUGCUGCUACACAUGGACACGAACAAUUAAGUUUUCAGCCAGAACUACAGUGAGACACUCCAAUCCAACUGCACUCACUAAGCCUUUUGGUAGCUGCAUUGAUAAGGUGGAAAGAAGUUCAUGUGCAAGAAAUCUGAAGUAAAGUACCUAACUGUUUGCUGCUGCAAGCUGAACUCAAAGAUGCUGAUGUGUGUAACUGUUGUGAUGGGUUUAUGGAGGCAGGAGAAGGAGCUUCUGUGGUGGAAAGUUGGUCUUUGAGUAUAUAGAGACCCUGGAAGGAAAGAACAAACCCGCAGAAUGGCACCGCUGAAGAAAGCACUGCUGAGGAAGGAAGCUUUGGAUUUGGUCAACUUUUACUAAUUCCUUCUUCAAGUCACUCCAGAAUUUUCUGUACACCUUGUCCUUCCUUGCUGGCUCUGCUGUGAGGUCAGUUGUUGGCUAACACAUGCAAGAGGCUGUUAAACACAGUAGAGUGGAGACAGAUCUCCUCAGAUAUCAGGAAAAAUGGUGCACAAUCAGGAUGUGUAAAAAACAAAAAAUUUUUAUCUUUCUUCCUAUUUCAGCUGCUUGAAUCAUGAUUCAUUUGUAUUUCUAUUGGAAAUAAUAUGUAUCCAGAUGAAGUGUUGAUCUUUCAGGGCAGCUACCAGCUCAAGAGUAUUAUUAAGUGUUUUCUGUGCAACAUGGUACUAUAAUUGGGGUCUGAUUUUCACAGAAUCACAGAAUAUGCUGAUUUUGAAGGGACACGCAAGGAUUAUCGAGUCCAACCCCUGGUCCUGCAAAGGACCAUCCCGAAGAGUCACACUAUGUGCCUGAGAGCAUUGUCCAAAUGCUUCUUGAACUCUGUCAGGAUGGUUCUGUGACCAUUCUCUGGGGAGCCUGUUCCAGUGCCCAACCAGCCUCUGGGUGAAGAACCUAUUCCUGAUAACCAACCUAACCCUCCCCUGACACAACUUCGGGCCAUUCCUUGGGUCCUGUCACUGUCACCACAGAGAACAGAUCAGUGCCUGCCCCCCUCUUCGCCUCACAAGGAGGUUGUAACUGUGAUGAGGUCUCCCCUCAGUCUCCUCCAGGCUGAACAGACCAAGUCCACUCAGCCACUCCUCAUACAGCUUCACCUCAAGGCCCUUCAUCAUCUUUGCUGCUCUCCUUUCAAUGCUCUCUAUCAGCUUAAUAUCUUUCUUGUAUUGUGGUGACCAAAACUGGUCAAUAUGGCAUAUAAUUUUCCCUAUUUUAUAGAACUCACAUUACUCCUAUUUGUCAUUGUCUUGUGUAAAGCUCCCCUCAUUCUAAUUGUGUGUCAUCACUUUCCUUUUGUGCUGAGAAAACAUAUUCCACUAAUCAUCUGACUCAUUCAGCAGUUACUAGUCCUUAGUAUUGCUGUGCUGCUGGUGCAAUAGCUGUUCCUGCUUCUCUUGAGUCCUAGACUACCAUAACAGGAUGCUAUUUGAACACGUUAAUGUUGGUAAGCAAUCAUUGGUUAUUCUUUUCGAGAAGAAGUGAAAAGUCACCUACUACUAAAGUAGUGAAGCAUUCAGAUUUUCGUCAUCGUACUGGGAACAGCAAUUCCUUCCCAAGUAUCUUGUUUGAAUCUGUCAGUGAAAGACCAUCAUUAGAGAGGAGCAAAGAAGGUGUGACAGCACCUUGGGCAAGCUACCAAGUGCAUGCAAAGGUCAAAUAGUGGAUGAAAGAGGAGAGCAGGAAUUAAAUGAAAGGAGGAAAAUGCCAGCAUUAUGCUGACGUUUUCAUUAAGAAAAUCACUGAAUAGAUGAAACAAGCCUGACAUUUACUUAUACGGUGGUGGAAAUCACUGCACUGUGUGUACUGCAUGUUUUCCUGUUCAGUCAGCAUAUUGUACAGCUGUGAUAAAGGGGGCUGUAUUCAUUUAGCAAUAAUGGUGAUACAAAAUUGUUCAUUGACUCAGCUUUUCCUCCAUUAUGUGAAAUAUAUUAUAACUGGCCAUAUAAGUCAGUUUCUUUCACUAUGCCUCCACACACAUCAUGACUGUAAUCAUCCUUUUAAAGAGAUUUCUCAGAUGAUGCUACUUUCUUCACAAAUCACCCACCUUUCCUCUAUCUUCAUGUAAACAGGUAUGUUCACUGAAUUUCUGUAACUGGGCACAUACAUUGUAAAGUCUCAUUCGUUAUAUAGCUAGAAACUUUCAGUGCAAUGCUGCUUAGUGAGAGGAGAAAUUCAUUAGGCCUGAGUGACAGAUAAAUUCACCAUGGACUGUGGUGGGGUGCAUUUCUGCAUUCACCAGCUUAAAAUGCACAUGAAAGAGUUAAGUCUCCAUUGGGCUCAUCCAAAUUACAUCACUUUGGCAAUAUAAAGGGGUCAUAAAAGGGUAACAGCUUUAGAAAUACUCCUUACUUGGGAGGUGUUCUGGGGUUACAGGCAGGCCCAGAGUGGUCCAUUAUCUGGCUCUUCUGGACAGGUGGAUGGCUCAUGAGGGAUACUUGCAGCCAGAAGAGUAGCUUUAAGCUUUCUCUAAUUGAUGCCAGAAGUUCAACAGGUUCCCAGGCAACCUGAAAAUACAAGAAAUACAAAGGUGAUUCUGAAAGUUUGGUAGUACAUUUCCCCCCCUGGAAACUCAGUAACAAAAUUCAUACUUUGAGUUUGAGUGUGACGGAGUGGGAGGCCAGAUUUAAUGCUUGAUGCUUAAUCUUCUUGGAAGAUGCUUGUAGCACUGAGCCAAAAUCCCUUGGGGUAUGACACAUGGACUGUUCAUUUCAAUUUCAUGUCCUUUGAGUUUUGUUCCGUCUGCUGUUUCUUUGUCUGCAUUGGAUGUUUCAUUUGCACAAAGAAUGGCAUUAAAAUCAGUGUCCAUCAAAAGACAUAAAAAGGUCCUUCAAACGUUGAUCAGUUAUAUUUUACCACACACUGAUGAGAUGGGAUGUGCAGUGAACCAGUUCACAGGCCACUGGAAAGGGAUAGAAGGAAUAUUGGUUCUGCAGCACUAGUCUUUUUCUAUCAUGGGAUUAUCACUAGAAAUGGGGAGAUAAAUCAAACAGAGAAGUUCAGCCAGAGGAUAGCAGUGACCACCUAGGUUGGUCUGUGCUGCUUCUUGCUAAUACUGGGUGGUAACAAGCAACUGGGGAAAAGUGGUACCCUAAAUUUUUCCAACUCUUUCUAUAGUUGUGUGUAAGCAUGUAGACAAGUCAGGCAAGGAGACACUAGUAGGUAAAAAUGCAGUGGAAUUGAGAAAAGGGGGAUCUUUGUGCUUGGAAGCAGAGUCAUGUCCUGACUUCCCAAAGACUCAGUAGACCCUUGGGAGCCUGCUUGACUAACAUACACAGUGCCUACUUUUCUUUUGGAGUACACCAGUCAGUUCCUUUUCAAAUCAAACCUGGAUGAGGGUUUGCAGUCAACUCACUCCAGGGACAACUCAAGUUUGUGUAAAGCUUUUGUAUCUUUGUUUACAUGAUCUUCCCGCACUGUCUUGGCAAACCUUGCACCCUAAAAUAUCUUCAUAUGUCACAUGCUGUACCCACGGCACACAAUAUAGACUCAGUAUCGUGUUUAAAAAAUACCUUUCCAGCAGAUUGUGCCAGGUUUGCAUGCUUUGAACAGGAAAAAAACAACCCCCUUUUUCAGGAUGGGUAACAAAACAGCAAAUGGGGCCAAAGGGACUAAAGCCAAACACUGAACAGUGUGGUCUGCAGUACGCUUUGGGCAGAGUUAAUCCUUUAUUGAUGAAACUGAACCCGAAGGAAGUGUAGAUGCAAGUGCACUGUACCAGGUGGCCUGAUACAGAGAAUGUUUCUUGUAGUGUAAAUGUAACCUUUAUCUUCUUAUAAGUGUUGCCAAGCAAGGCCAAGGUCACCAAAAAGGGCUGAUUGGGGGCUGACAAGAAAUAGAGGAGUUUGAGUUCUAGACAUAAACUUUUUUCUGAGGUAGAGGUGUUUCUUUUCAUAUGAAGUUUCCUUUCAUGGCAUCAAGUUAGUUAGCCUCCAACAAAAAGUAACAGGAUACAGCAAAGGUUGUGGCCUUAUUUUAUAAAUGAUAAAGUGACUGAGGAAUGUGGGAGUGAAGUUCCAUAUUUCCAUCCUUAUCCUUCAGAUUAAAUUGAAGUCCAUACCAAUAAUUUAUUGAAUCUGAUAUUUCUCAUUAAGUGGUCACAGAAUGAAGAAAUGAAUCAUUGCAUUCCUCUCAGUGCUGGGUGGGUUUAACAGGUGCCACAUAUGGAAUAUUUACUAAUAUUCUUUUCCAUGAGCCACAAAAUUGAGUCUAGCUGAAGCAGGGAUUUCUAACUUACUGCCCUGUAGUCCUGUGGGCAGAGCCCCCUCCAUAUGUACUGGACUGUAGUCCUUGUAGUUAGAAAGCAAAUAGCAUAAUCAAUCCAAACCCACUGUCAGUAGAAUAAAAAGGAGAGGUCAGGAAAAAAAGCUGAUGUGUUCUUUUUUCUUCUUGGGUAAACACAACAUUAAUAUGCUGAUAAUAAUCAAAUUAUCUGUUUUCUAAGAAACUAUAUUUGUAAACAAAUGUGUUUUCUGUAUUUGCAGAUGUGAUAAACCAAAACCAAAUGAUGUACUGAGGUAAAAGGCAUAUUCUACCAGUCCUACUGCUUCAGAAAAUAGGGGUUUAGUCUGUCCUGUUUCUGUAUCUCCAUAGUUGUAAUGUCUUCUGCUUUCCUGUAAUGUCUUUUGCUUUCCUGUUUUCAGCUGUUUCUGUGACCGUGUCACAUAGUCAUUUCUGUUUAAUGAUCAUAAUUGUUAGCUUGAACUUGUUAGGUGUUUAACAAACGUACAAAAAUCAAUAAUAGAUUGUGAAAAACUAAGAAAAUGAACUUAUUCCUAUUUCCAUCUGCUUUGAAAACACAUGCUGUAACUAACCAUUAUCAGAUAAAACAUGAACACUGAAAUAAAAAGGUGUGGGAGCUGAAUUUAUGACCCGUAAUAUAACCAAGUGGGAAUGAAUGCAGUAAUAUAAUAUUAAUAUACUUUUAAGAAGCUAGAUGCUUGUUAAAAUAUGAGAAUUUCACACUCAUUAUAUUUUUGUUAUGAAAGUAGUUUCAUUUGUAAUAGCGAAGUAUAUGUGUUGCAGCUAAAAUGCAUGUAUAUAUUUUCAUAGUAUAUAUUUUUUAAAUAAACCUAUCAUCAGACAGCCCAAA